UUAAGCGACUAAGCGUACACGGUGGAUGCCCUGGCAGUCAGAGGCGAUGAAGGACGUGCUAAUCUGCGAUAAGCGUCGGUAAGGUGAUAUGAACCGUUAUAACCGGCGAUUUCCGAAUGGGGAAACCCAGUGUGAUUCGUCACACUAUCAUUAACUGAAUCCAUAGGUUAAUGAGGCGAACCGGGGGAACUGAAACAUCUAAGUACCCCGAGGAAAAGAAAUCAACCGAGAUUCCCCCAGUAGCGGCGAGCGAACGGGGAGCAGCCCAGAGCCUGAAUCAGUGUGUGUGUUAGUGGAAGCGUCUGGAAAGGCGCGCGAUACAGGGUGACAGCCCCGUACACAAAAAUGCACAUACUGUGAGCUCGAUGAGUAGGGCGGGACACGUGGUAUCCUGUCUGAAUAUGGGGGGACCAUCCUCCAAGGCUAAAUACUCCUGACUGACCGAUAGUGAACCAGUACCGUGAGGGAAAGGCGAAAAGAACCCCGGCGAGGGGAGUGAAAAAGAACCUGAAACCGUGUACGUACAAGCAGUGGGAGCACGCUUAGGCGUGUGACUGCGUACCUUUUGUAUAAUGGGUCAGCGACUUAUAUUCUGUAGCAAGGUUAACCGAAUAGGGGAGCCGAAGGGAAACCGAGUCUUAACUGGGCGUUAAGUUGCAGGGUAUAGACCCGAAACCCGGUGAUCUAGCCAUGGGCAGGUUGAAGGUUGGGUAACACUAACUGGAGGACCGAACCGACUAAUGUUGAAAAAUUAGCGGAUGACUUGUGGCUGGGGGUGAAAGGCCAAUCAAACCGGGAGAUAGCUGGUUCUCCCCGAAAGCUAUUUAGGUAGCGCCUCGUGAAUUCAUCUCCGGGGGUAGAGCACUGUUUCGGCAAGGGGGUCAUCCCGACUUACCAACCCGAUGCAAACUGCGAAUACCGGAGAAUGUUAUCACGGGAGACACACGGCGGGUGCUAACGUCCGUCGUGAAGAGGGAAACAACCCAGACCGCCAGCUAAGGUCCCAAAGUCAUGGUUAAGUGGGAAACGAUGUGGGAAGGCCCAGACAGCCAGGAUGUUGGCUUAGAAGCAGCCAUCAUUUAAAGAAAGCGUAAUAGCUCACUGGUCGAGUCGGCCUGCGCGGAAGAUGUAACGGGGCUAAACCAUGCACCGAAGCUGCGGCAGCGACGCUGAUGCGUUGUUGGGUAGGGGAGCGUUCUGUAAGCCUGCGAAGGUGUGCUGUGAGGCAUGCUGGAGGUAUCAGAAGUGCGAAUGCUGACAUAAGUAACGAUAAAGCGGGUGAAAAGCCCGCUCGCCGGAAGACCAAGGGUUCCUGUCCAACGUUAAUCGGGGCAGGGUGAGUCGACCCCUAAGGCGAGGCCGAAAGGCGUAGUCGAUGGGAAACAGGUUAAUAUUCCUGUACUUGGUGUUACUGCGAAGGGGGGACGGAGAAGGCUAUGUUGGCCGGGCGACGGUUGUCCCGGUUUAAGCGUGUAGGCUGGUUUUCCAGGCAAAUCCGGAAAAUCAAGGCUGAGGCGUGAUGACGAGGCACUACGGUGCUGAAGCAACAAAUGCCCUGCUUCCAGGAAAAGCCUCUAAGCAUCAGGUAACAUCAAAUCGUACCCCAAACCGACACAGGUGGUCAGGUAGAGAAUACCAAGGCGCUUGAGAGAACUCGGGUGAAGGAACUAGGCAAAAUGGUGCCGUAACUUCGGGAGAAGGCACGCUGAUAUGUAGGUGAAGUCCCUCGCGGAUGGAGCUGAAAUCAGUCGAAGAUACCAGCUGGCUGCAACUGUUUAUUAAAAACACAGCACUGUGCAAACACGAAAGUGGACGUAUACGGUGUGACGCCUGCCCGGUGCCGGAAGGUUAAUUGAUGGGGUCAGCGCAAGCGAAGCUCUUGAUCGAAGCCCCGGUAAACGGCGGCCGUAACUAUAACGGUCCUAAGGUAGCGAAAUUCCUUGUCGGGUAAGUUCCGACCUGCACGAAUGGCGUAAUGAUGGCCAGGCUGUCUCCACCCGAGACUCAGUGAAAUUGAACUCGCUGUGAAGAUGCAGUGUACCCGCGGCAAGACGGAAAGACCCCGUGAACCUUUACUAUAGCUUGACACUGAACAUUGAGCCUUGAUGUGUAGGAUAGGUGGGAGGCUUUGAAGUGUGGACGCCAGUCUGCAUGGAGCCGGCCUUGAAAUACCACCCUUUAAUGUUUGAUGUUCUAACGUUGACCCGUAAUCCGGGUUGCGGACAGUGUCUGGUGGGUAGUUUGACUGGGGCGGUCUCCUCCUAAAGAGUAACGGAGGAGCACGAAGGUUGGCUAAUCCUGGUCGGACAUCAGGAGGUUAGUGCAAUGGCAUAAGCCAGCUUGACUGCGAGCGUGACGGCGCGAGCAGGUGCGAAAGCAGGUCAUAGUGAUCCGGUGGUUCUGAAUGGAAGGGCCAUCGCUCAACGGAUAAAAGGUACUCCGGGGAUAACAGGCUGAUACCGCCCAAGAGUUCAUAUCGACGGCGGUGUUUGGCACCUCGAUGUCGGCUCAUCACAUCCUGGGGCUGAAGUAGGUCCCAAGGGUAUGGCUGUUCGCCAUUUAAAGUGGUACGCGAGCUGGGUUUAGAACGUCGUGAGACAGUUCGGUCCCUAUCUGCCGUGGGCGCUGGAGAACUGAGGGGGGCUGCUCCUAGUACGAGAGGACCGGAGUGGACGCAUCACUGGUGUUCGGGUUGUCAUGCCAAUGGCACUGCCCGGUAGCUAAAUGCGGAAGAGAUAAGUGCUGAAAGCAUCUAAGCACGAAACUUGCCCCGAGAUGAGUUCUCCCUGAC
rnacentral:rRNA from 1 species